rnacentral:rRNA from 1 species
GUGUCAGCAGCCGCGGUAAUACAGAGGGUGCAAACGUUGUUCGGAAUCACUGGGCAUAAAGCGUACGUAGGCGGCCCCGUAAGUGUCUGAUGAAAUCCCACGGCUUACCCGUGGAACGGUCGGGCAUACUGCGGGGCUAGAGGAUGGUAGAGGAGAGCGGAACUCUUGGUGGAGCGGUGAAAUGCGUAGAUAUCAAGAGGAACACCGGUGGCGAAGGCGGCUCUCUGGUCCAUGUCUGACGCUGAGGUACGAAAGCUAGGGGAGCAAACGGGAUUAGAUACCCCCGUAGUCC